CCCGACUCAACAAGAUGCCGUCUCACAAGACCUUCAGAAUCAAGAAGAAGUUGGCGAAGAAGAUGAGACAGAACAGGCCAAUUCCUCACUGGAUCCGUCUUAGGACCGACAAUACCAUCAGGUACAAUGCAAAGCGAAGGCACUGGCGCCGCACUAAGCUCGGUUUCUGAGCUGUUUUGCAUGUGAUUUUCUCUUUAUCCUUCGCAAUUGUCUUGAACCUAUUUAAGCGUUAGUUAUGGAAAAGACGAAGAAUAUAGAGCUAAGUUUUUGAAUUUUUUUGCCUCAAUUAAGAACUUAUCGAAGAGAAACUCGUGUAGUAAAUUUAUGUCUGGAGUGAUGUCAGUUCGGAAGUUAAUCUCGUGUUCGUUUGGUUUAAUGCUAUUCUAGUUCAG
rnacentral:misc_RNA from 1 species